rnacentral:tRNA from 6 species
UCCGCGAUGGUGUAAUCGGCAACACCCCAGUUUUUGGUUCUGGUAUUCCAGGUUCGAGUCCUGGUCGCGGAACGA